GCCUGGAUGGCGGAAUAGGUAGACGCAAGGGACUUAAAAUCCCUUAUCCGUAAGGGUGUGCGGGUUCAAAUCCCGCUCCAGGUA
rnacentral:tRNA from 1 species